rnacentral:rRNA from 1 species
ACCCGCUGAACUUAAGCAUAUCAAUAAGCGGAGGAAAAGAAACUAACAAGGAUUCCCUCAGUAACGGCGAGUGAAGAGGGAAGAGCUCAGUUUUGAAAUCUGGCAGUGAUAGUGCUGUCCGAGUUGUAAAUUGAAGAGAAUGUCAUCCACACUGGACCAUGUCUAAAUUGUAAUGAUCCACAGUCCUUUGAUGGAGUAUCAGAGAGGGUAAUAAUCCCGUCUUUAACGUGGACUACCAGUGUUCUAUGUGAUGCACUCUCUCAGAGUCGAGUAGUUUGGGAAUGCUGCUCUAAUGGGAGGUAAACUCCUUCUAAAGCUAAAUAUGGGCGAGAGACCGAUAGCGAACAAGUACCGUGAGGGAAAGAUGAAAAGAACUCUGAAAAGAGAGUCAAACAGAACGUGAAAUUGCUGAAAGGGAAGCGUUUGAAGUCAGAUGCGUCUUCAUGGAAUGACAGCUCAGUGGUAGAGACUGGGAACAGUGACUUGAAGACGGGCCAGCACUCACGUAGUCCAUUGGAAAAGGGACCAUGGAAUGUAGCUCACUUGUUGAGUGAUUAUAGCCUUGGUUCAUAUACAAUGUGUCUUAUGUGGGA